GAUGAACGCUAGCUACAGGCUUAACACAUGCAAGUCGAGGGACCGGCGCACGGGUGAGUAACACGUAUCCAACCUGCCCUUUACUCGUGGAUAGCCGUACGAAAGAAAGAUUAAUACUCGAUAGAAAGGGGGGGGAUGGGUUCCAUUAGGUUGGUGGUGAGGUAACGGCCCACCAAGCCUUCGUUGGAUAGGGGUUCUGAGAGGAAGGUCCCCCGCAUUGGAACUGAGACACAGUCCCCACACCGACGUGCGGCAGCAGUGAGGGAGAGUUGUCAAUGGGCGUUAGCCUGAACCAGCCAAGUAGCGUGAAGGAUGAAGGCUUAUUGGUCGUCAACUUCUUUUAUAUAAGAAGAUGUAUUAUAUGAAUAAGGAUCGGCUAACCCCGUGCCAGCAGCCGCGGUAAUUC
rnacentral:rRNA from 1 species